UACGUAGGGUGCGAGCGUUAAUCGGAAUUACUGGGCGUAAAGCGUGCGCAGGCGGUUUUGUAAGCCAGGUGUGAAAUCCCCGGGCUCAACCUGGGAACUGCCUUUGUGACUGCAUAGCUAGAGUACGGUAGAGGGGGAUGGAAUUCCGCGUGUAGCAGUGAAAUGCGUAGAUAUGCGGAGGAACACCGAUGGCGAAGGCAAUCCCCUGGACCUGUACUGACGCUCAUGCACGAAAGCGUGGGGAGCAAACAGG
rnacentral:rRNA from 1 species